AUGAGAUUCUCAAAACUGGCUGUGUUUCUGGUUUUUUCAUUUUAUUUUGUACUGCUUGUCCAUGGGAAAGUGCAAUCCAAUGAGCUAAGGGUGAGCUCUGGAAACUCUUUCAAUGCGGUUAGUACUUUAGUUCUUAAGCUCCUCUCUCUCUCUCUCUCUCUCUCUCUCUCUCUCUCUCUCUCUGUGGAAACUCUUUUAAAAGUUGGACUUAACCAGUUGCCUUUGAUGUUUGAUGUUUUGUGUAGGGAAGAGCAGAUCAUUUGUAG
rnacentral:lncRNA from 1 species